rnacentral:rRNA from 1 species
AUUGAACGCUGGCGGCAUGCUUUACACAUGCAAGUCGAACGGUAACAGGGAGCUUGCUCCGCUGACGAGUGGCGAACGGGUGAGUAAUGCAUCGGAACGUACCGUGUAAUGGGGGAUAACGUAGCGAAAGUUACGCUAAUACCACAUACGCCCUGAGGGGGAAAGUGGGGGACCGCAAGGCCUCACGUUAUACGAGCGGCCGAUGUCGGAUUAGCUAGUUGGUGGGGUAAAGGCCUACCAAGGCGACGAUCCGUAGCGGGUCUGAGAGGAUGAUCCGCCACACUGGGACUGAGACACGGCCCAGACUCCUACGGGAGGCAGCAGUGGGGAAUUUUGGACAAUGGGGGCAACCCUGAUCCAGCCAUGCCGCGUGAGUGAAGAAGGCCUCGGUUGUAAGAC